AUUGAACGCCGGCGGCAGGCCUAACACAUGCAAGUCGGGCGAGCGGAGGACGGGUGAGUAAUGUAUGGGGAUCUGCCUGAUGUAGGGGGAUAACUACUGGAAACGUUAGCUAAUAGCGCAUACCACCAUUUGAACUCAUAUGGGAUUAGCUUGUAGGUGAGGUAACGGCUCACCUAGGCGACGAUCCCUAGCUGGUCCGAGAGGAUGAUCAGCCACACUGGGACUGAGACACGGCCCAGACUCCUACGGGAGGCAGCAGUGGGGAAUAUGGCACAAUGGGCGCAAGCCUGAUGCAGCCAUGCCGCGUGUAUGAAGAAGGCCUUCGGGUUGUAAAGUACUUUCAGUCGGGAGGCGUUACCGAAAGAAGAAGCACCGGCUAACUCCGUGCCAGCAGCCGCGGUAAUUC
rnacentral:rRNA from 1 species